rnacentral:rRNA from 1 species
UACGGGGGGGGCAAGCGUUGUUCGGAAUUACUGGGCGUAAAGGGCUCGUAGGCGGCCAACUAAGUCAGGCGUGAAAUCCCUCGGCUUAACCGGGGAACUGCGUCUGAUACUGGAUGGCUUGAGAUUGGGAGAGGGAUGCGGAAUUCCAGGUGUAGCGGUGAAAUGCGUAGAUAUCUGGAGGAACACCGGUGGCGAAGGCGGUUUUCUAGCUGAUUUCUGACGCUGAGGCGCGAAAGCAAGGGGAGCAAACAGG